rnacentral:tRNA from 1 species
UCUAAUAUGGCAGAUUAGUGCAAUAACCUUAAACGUUAUAUAUAAAGAUAAUUCUUUUAUUAGAA